CCUACGGGCGGCAGCAGUGAGGAAUAUUGGUCAAUGGGCGGAAUCCUGAACCAGCCAUGUCGCGUGCAGGACGACGGCCCUACGGGUUGUAAACUUCUUUUAUACCGGGGUAAAAUGCUCUACGUGUAGGGUUUUGUAUGUACGUUAUGAAUAAGGAUCGGCUAACUCCGUGCCAGCAGCCGCGGUAAUACGGAGGAUCCGAGCGUUAUCCGGAUUUAUUGGGUUUAAAGGGUGCGUAGGUUGUUUGAUAAGUUAGCUGUGAAAUAUUGCUGCUCAACCUCUAAGUUGCAGCUGAUACUGUAGGACUAGAGUACGGAUGAGGCAGGCGGAAUGUGUAGUGUAGCGGUGAAAUGCAUAGAUAUUACGAAGAACACCGAUUGCGAAGGCAGCUUACUAGACCGGAACUGACACUGAUGCUCGAAAGCGUGGGGAUCGAACAGGAUUAGAUACCCGAGUAGUC
rnacentral:rRNA from 1 species